rnacentral:rRNA from 1 species
GAUGAACGCUGGCGGCGUGCCUAAUACAUGCAAGUCGAGCGAACGGACGAGAAUCUUGCUUCUCUGAUGUUAGCGGCGGACGUGUGAGUAACACGUGGAUAACCUACCUAUAAGACUGGGAUAACUUCGGGAAACCGGAGCUAAUACCGGAUAAUAUUUUGAACCGCAUGGUUCAAAAGUGAAAGACGGUCUUGCUGUCACUUAUAGAUUGAUCCGCGCUGCAUUAGCUAGUUGGUAAGGUAACGGCUUACCAAGGCAACGAUGCAUAACCGACCUGAGAGGGUGAUCGGCCACACUGGAACUGAGACACGGUACAGACUCCUACGGGAGGCAGCAGUAGGGAAUCUUCCGCAAUGGGCGAAAGCCUGACGGAGCAAAGCCGCGUGAGUGAUGAAGGUCUUCGGAUCGUAAAGCUCUGUUAUUAGGGAAGAACAUAUGUGUAAGUAACUGUGCACAUCUUGACGGUACCUAAUCAGAAAGCCACGGCUAACUACGUG